GCAACUUUGGUUGACCUUGUACUCAAUCAUGGCCUAACAAUGACCGAAGCUGGUCCAGUCCAGCCGAAUUUGAGCCGCUUCACGGUAGCCUUAGUUAUCUGGGCAUUUAGAGAUAAGAAUAGAAUAGAAAGACGACCAGCAAGAGGUGGCAGAGGCCGGAAAUUUACAGAUGAGCAAGAGACCACCAUAAUCAACAUGACGGAGCCUGAGGUGACAGUGACGAGAAAAAACUCCUUGGAAGACUUCCAGGACAGAGACCAGUAAUCCAUACAUGCAUGAGUAAGACCAGGAAACUAGCCACCCCAAAAAAAGGGGUCACAACUGCUGCAAGUAAAGAUUGUCCCCCCAUCAUGCGCAAUGCCUGCACACUUC